AGUGGCCUAGUGGUUGAGACGUCCGCCUGGAAACCCUGGGGACGUGGGUGCGAGCCCGG
rnacentral:tRNA from 1 species